UACGGAGGGUGCAAGCGUUAUCCGGAUUCACUGGGUUUAAAGGGUGCGUAGGUGGGCAGGUAAGUCAGUGGUGAAAUCUCCGGGCUUAACUCGGAAACUGCCAUUGAUACUAUCUGUCUUGAAUACCGUGGAGGUUAGCGGAAUAUGUCAUGUAGCGGUGAAAUGCUUAGAUAUGACAUAGAACAUCUAUUGCGAAGGCAGCUCACUACGGGAAUAUUGACGCUGAGGCACGAAAGCGUGGGGAUCAAACAGG
rnacentral:rRNA from 1 species